rnacentral:rRNA from 1 species
GAUGAACGCUAGCGGCAGGCCUAAUACAUGCAAGUCGAACGGUGUCUUCGGACAUAGUGGCGCACGGGUGCGUAACACGUAUGCAACCUACCUUACAUUGGGGGAUAGCCUUUCGAAAGGGAGAUUAGUACCGCAUAAGACAGUAGCUGGGCAUCCAGCAGCUGUUAAAGAUUAUCGAUUUAAGCUGGGCAUGCGUCCAAUUAGCUAGUUGGUGAGGUAACGGAUCACCAAGGCAAUGAUUGGUAGGGGAACUGAGAGGUCAAUCCCCCACCCUGGGACGGAGAUCCGGGCCAGACUCCUACGGUAGGCAGAAGUAGGGAAUAUUGGGCAAUGGACGCAAGUCUGACCCAGCCAUGCCGCGUGCAGGAUUAAGGCGUUAUGCGUUGUAAACUGCUUUUAUACAGGAAGAAACGACUCUUGCGAGAGGCAUUGACGGUACUGUAUGAAUAAGCACCGGCUAACUCCGUGCCAGCAGCCGCCGUAACAC